AGUGUAUUGAAAAAAGUAGCUCUAUAUAUAACAUCAAAUCAAUAUAUAUGAAACUAUAUUUCAAGACGGAUUAGUGAUAUUUUAAAUUGGUGCCAUAAAUUUUGUUGCCUUUUCUCAUAAAGUUGCUCAAAUUUUAAAAUAUUUGACUUUUAACAAGAACUAGAAGUGCACUUAUUUGUGGACAGAGUGAGUACUGAGCUCAUCAUCGGUGUCUCGCUGUAGACAGAUCUACCACUAAAAGAGUAGACCCAGGUCUACCACUAAAAGAGUAGACCCAACUGAGCUCUGUUUCAAAAAAAAAAAGAACUUGAACUGGUUCCACCCCAAAGAACUAGAGCACUUCUUAUUUUUCUUAUUGCGCUGAAGUCUCUAGUAUUUUCCCGCCUGCCAUUUUUUAGCUAUUUGUGGGAGUCAAGGUA
rnacentral:lncRNA from 1 species